GAGAAUCUGCUUACCAGCACUCUAUAGGCAAGCAGCAUCUCUACAUAACCUGAAAUAGUAGUCAGUUGAUUCUAUAAACAGCAACUAUAAACACAUAAAUAUAGGAGGUGGGGCAUGGCUGCCUUCAUACAUCACUAAUUUUGGCAAAACCCAGCCUUUGAGAGCUUGGUGAACGCCUUACGGAAAAUGAAAACAUUAAAUUGCUGGCUGGUCGGAAGUGAAUUCUGGGAUGGGAAGAACAAUUGCAGCUCUCAAUUCUUUGGCUUGCAGUAAACAAGGCCACAAAGGGCCUGAGAAUUAUUUUAUUCCUUACAUAGGAAGACAUCUUACUAGCCUUACUGAGGGCUAACCAAGAAAUGAAUGAACCUCAGAGUCUUGAAAAUACUGCCACUAUGAAACUGUGAAAAAGGAGACAGCAAAAUAGACUUGUCGUCCUAUGCAGAACUAAGGUUAAACCAUGACUACUCCUUGAGGCCUUCCCUGGAGAUUCAGGCUCAUAGAGUCCUUCUUUCUCUGAAUUCUAAAGUACUUAUGGAAGAUUCAGCAGAUAAUUUUUAAUGAAUUAAAUUUUAAUACAUCAAAUUACUUAAUAAUAAUAUUUAAUAAAAUUUUCAGUGUUCUCCAGA